ACUGCCUCUACCACAUCAUGGCUACCAGCAGCUUGGGCUUAGAGGAGGUAUGGAGGCUGGGUCUGUUCAAGGCAUGGCUUGCAGGAGAGACUGUCCUCCUAUCCAUUGGCUUGCUAGAGGCAAUGACCUGACUGAAAUUGCCUCUGCCUUCCUCCAUCCAGCCUAUGCGAGCAGAUGGAAACAGCAGCUUGCCAAGCACACCGCACCUCCCAGCCUGCAAUAACAAUCACACAUCACCUCACCUCUGGCCCACAGUCAGCAUCAGCACCAAGGCGGUCCCUGAGAAUUGAAGGCUUGAUUAUGACCGUGCAUCAUGAGAUGCAACUGUGUUCAGCUUAGGUAAUUCUUCCUGCGGAAUAAGGAAGAAAGAAAAACAAGGAGGGGGGAUAGGGGUGCCCUUACGGUGCAGAAUUAUCUGUCCUAUGCUCCAUCUUCUGAGCUUCCUCUUCCUUUAUGGUCUUUACACUCAUAACUAGGGCAGUUUUGACAUGCAUACCUCUUGCAAUCAAUCAGCCGACCACUGAGCCGAGGAGUGUCUACCACGUUACUAAUCCCCAGUAAUUACCAGGGGACCAGUCACAGAGUGAACCAUGAGGCUGAUUCAGUUUGAUUUACUUCAUUGCUCUCUUCAGCCCAGAUGUUCAGAGAUGCACAGGUUUUUGUGCCAAAGAAUAGCCCAUUUGCAACAAGCAGCCAUUAGGUGCUAAUAUCCGUUUGCCACAGGUUUGGCAACGUGAGCCAUGCUUACACAGGAACUGCAGCUGCAGGAUAUGAACAUCUGAAAGCACUGUUAGAACAUAAGAAAAAGAAAACAGCUCAGACGCAUGACCUCAGGGCCAACGUUUUAUUAAAAAUAUAUAUUAAUGCUGCUCCCUCUGAUAAAGAACUUAUUUAGGCCUUGCUUAAAUUGAAACCUAACCUAUUGCUUAGAACUACUGUAUCUUCCUACCCAGGGGUUUAUUUUGUCACUGGGCCAAAUACAAAGUCAUGUAGUUAGAAGUCUUUGGCACCUGCCUGCACAUUUGCAUCUGGGAAGAAAAUAUUUUUGUGCCUUUCUCUCUCUUCCUCAGUAUGCAGUUGGUUUGCAGAGCCAAAGCUACCCCUAGGGCUCGCUUCUCAUAUUUGCUCUCAGAACAAAUUGAUUUCCAAGCCACCAAGUAUUCAGAUGGCUGUGGGGAUUGAAGCCUGGUUGGCUGUUUCUGAUGAUAGUCUGUGAAAUUCAAGUGUGACAAAGCAUUCAGGAGGAUGCUUAAUUAUAUUACAAGGUGUGAGGAACUUGGAACCGUAGUAUGGAGACUGCUGUAGAGAAGAUUAUUGUGCCUCAAAUUUUCCAGCAUGGUGAGCUUAUAAAACAUAAGUUUUCUUUAUUUUGUACCAUUUUCAUGUUAUAAUUAUGUUUUAGCUCACACUUCUAAAUGUAUAAAAAGCCUUAAUAUUUUAUAACCUUACUGAACUGGAAAGUUUGAGGCAUGAGCAUUUCACAGUGAUGACAGUUUGAUGCAUUGAUUUUUAUUUUGCAUUAUUUCUGGGGGGGGGGUUGAUCAAAUGCACUUGUCAAAAUUCCUUAAGAGCAUCUCACCCAUAUCCAACUUUUUAUACUCAAAGUCUUAUUCAAGACCUUAAAAAAGACUUUAACUCAUUCACAAAAGUUGUGUUGGUCUUAUAAUGAGUGGAUUUACCCAAGCUUAGUAACAGUAAUAAUAAACAAUUCUUAAUAACA